rnacentral:rRNA from 1 species
UACGGAGGGUGCAAGCGUUAUCCGGAUUCACUGGGUUUAAAGGGUGCGUAGGAGGGCAGGUAAGUCAGUGGUGAAAUCUCCAAGCUUAACUUGGAAACUGCCGUUGAUACUAUCUGUCUUGAAUAUUGUGGAGGUGAGCGGAAUAUGUCAUGUAGCGGUGAAAUGCUUAGAUAUGACAUAGAACACCAAUUGCGAAGGCAGCUCACUACUCAAUCAUUGACACUGAGGCACGAAAGCGUGGGGAUCAAACAGG